AACAACAUAACGGUGUCUUAGUACGAGGCAAAGUUUGCAGAGUUAUCCAGGUUUGCACCUCAUUUGGUGGAGAAUGAGAAACGUAUGACGCGAAUGUUUCUGAGAGGUUUGAAACCCGGCAUACGACAAUAUCUCAUUUCUCAUAAAUUUUCUCUCUAUUCAGAUGUUGUAAACAGGGCUCAAUUAUUAGAGCGAGAUAACGAGUACGG
rnacentral:lncRNA from 1 species